UGAGAUUGUAAAUGUUUUAAAACAUUGAGGUGCAUAAUGUAAUUUCCUGAACAAUAAAAUUUUCCGAGACUUCCCCUUGAAAUCACUGCAACAAUAGGGGAAGAAGCUUCAUGUUCAAAGAGAAAAACACGGCCAACACAUCACAAACAACAACGAUGUCGUUUCUUCCUCCGAUUCUUGUCUUCCUCUUUCACUGCCUUUGCCCUUCAUUUGAUGUCAAUUCUAUUUCAAUUAAAGUUUGCUUUUUCAAUAUUCUUUUAGCCGUUUGUUAGUUUCUUUUAUUAGCUUUGAUGCUUGCAGAAUUAACACUGAUUGAAAUUCCACUCUGGCAAGUAGAAGAAUUCAGCUCCAUUACAAUGAAAAUAAUUGAUGGUACAGUUGUUAAAGAACCCAAAAUAGUCCUCAAGUUUUUGUUGAUACCCAACUCAAUAAUGAAGAACUAUUUGUAGCUAAUGCAUUGAUUUAGUUGAAAUAUAAGGUGUGCAAUUUCUUUUAUCCAUAUUAUAAUUUUGUAUUGCUUUGGACUGGUUCAGAACUUGUCUACCACAGGCUUCCUUGCAGAUUGCUUGAUUCACCUUACGCGCAACAAGUUUUAUAUGAAGAUGCUGUUAUGGUAAAUGUGUUAUAGUGGUAAAUAUAUGCAUUUAGGCUCAUGUAUGAUUGAUACAGCAUUUUUUUUUUUUUUUUUGGUUAUUGAUUUUUUGAACUUCCGAUUGCUGAACUGGUAUGCAUUUAUGUCAAAAAAAAAAAUCCCCUUUUUUGAACUGCAACUCAGUUGUUAUGCUGAAUAUGUUUGCAGAACCACCAUUUUAAUAAAUAAUUCUGCACUGACAAAUCUCAGUAAGUGGGUAUGAACAUGAAGGCUUAGGAAAAAGAUACAUUUGCAUACACUGCUACCCAUGCCAUGAAUCUUACAUUAUAUUCUAUGAAGAGUUGAUUUCAACUAAGCUAAAAUGUUGCAUUGGGUGUAGUAUAGGAAUUAGGAAUCAACAGCUUUUAAUCUUUAUCCUGACCUCCAGCAAACCAAUAAAACCUUUGAUAUUGGAGUAUCCUUGCACUUAGGAUGUGAAAAGUCAUUUAUUUCAUUUGAUUGACAUGAAAUUAUGUUAAUAAUCAGAUUGCUUUUAAUAAGCCUUCGGGUCUGCAAGUUUUGCCUGGAGGGUUUUUCCAACAGCAAACUGUUUCAACUGAAUUCCACUGGUUAGCUAAGGAACAAAUCUCUGGGCAAAGAAACAAAUCUCUUUCUUACUGAGCCAAGAAUCACAUCUCGUUUCUGUUCAUCGCAUAGGAAGGGGCACAUCUGGUUAGCUGAGGUAUUGCUGAACAAUAUGACAAUGACUGUUUGCUAUUGUUAACUGUUAGCUGCGUUCUCAAUGGUUCAUAACCUCAUAUACAUGACAACUGAAAAUUUUUUUUAAUUAAUCCAGUGAUCAGAAGGAAGCAUACUCUUGAAGGCCAGUUUGCACAACUAAUAUUUACUGAAAUAAAUAAUAAAUUCCGAGAACUAAGAAAUAAAUAUAGAUCCUAUUAUUUGUUAGUUGUGUUUGAUAAUUCCAUAGUUUAAUUCAGGACAGAAGUCCCUAUGUAACUGUCAGUUUGAUCUUAGUUUUGACAGCAAGGCUGAUCCACUAUUGCCUGAAUGUGACGGUUUCCUGCCAUGUUUUUGCCUUCCUGCGAUGCCAUGUCUAUUCCUCUCUCAAACUCCCAAUGCAGAAAAUUUAGUGCACCUGUACACUGUUUAGAUUUUUUAUAUAAUGGAAUGAUAUGACAACCAUAUUUAUUUUGGUAAUCAGAGAUUUCUGCAGUUUCAUUUUUAUGCUGAUGGUUUUUAUUCUCUUCCUUGCAUAACAUGCCAGACAUUUUGUGCUUCUUUUACCUGAGAGUUGUCUCACCAGUUCUUUUGGUCUUUAUAUUGCAUCAAUAGUGUUGAUUAGGAAAAAACCAUAUCUUCUUCUAAAUUUCCAAUGAUUUGAUCAGUUGUCAAGUGGAUUCUAGGAAUAUUACUGUGUGCAAAGUCAAAGCUUGCCAGGACUCACCUAGCAGCAUAUUUUGCUGAUGGCACAUCUUGUAUUAGAGGCAUUGGAGAGAUUGAGCAACUUUCUUUCAAACCAUAUUGAAAUUUGAUAGUGGAUCCCUAGUUUAAGUUCCAGUCUUUGCUUCACUUUUUCAGAAAUUUUCAAUGGCAAGGGUUAGAAAUAUUUGUUGUGAAUCAAUUUUAACUCUCCUAUGUAUAAUUUUCUUGAUUCAAGUCUAUUAUUUGGAAGGACAGGUAUGUAUAAUUUUCUUGAUUCAAGUCUAUUAUUUGGAAGGACAGGAGGAGGGACAAAGGUCAAAUAUAAGAGAAACGUGGGGAAAAUUACAUUAAAUGAAGUUUUUGUUCAAUGAAGAAACAAAAAGGAAUGAGAUAACUAAUGCUACACUAAACAACUAAUAGCAGAAAGUUAAAUGACAUAAAAAUCUCAAAAUUCAUUCUCAGUUGGAGGCACUAUCCUAGCUGACUUUUGCCUCUAAAAUCUUGUUUUUCUCAAGAAGUUCAUUACAAACAUCCUUAGAGUGUUUCAGUUCAUUUUUUAGCACCUCAAACAAAAUCAUUUGGCUUUUACAAAAUGUAUUUUCUUGAGAAACAAACUCAAACUAAUAUUUCAGACCUUAGAUAUUCAUUUGCCUUUUUAAGUUAGAAUACCUUUUCUUGUACCAUCUAUAUUCUUUGUGAGCUAAAGCAAAAGCAUCUUCUAAUUCCUCAAAAGAAAUCGGUUCGGAUUCACUUACCUGCUGAAGACUUUUUUCUUUCUUUGAAUUUUCAACAUCUUCCACAGCCAUUAAACAUAAAUUUGCAACUUCCUUGGUGUUGGAAACAGCAUCACUUGAUGUAGAGUCACCACUUGCUUCCAUAUAAUACUUUUCUUUGCACUUUUUGUAUUUUCUGCUCUCUUUCUUAAAAAUCUUUUUGAGAUUUCUUGGUAGCAUUUCCAUGUCCUCAUUGUUGCCUCUACUACUUGAACAUUCAUCACUUGAUUUGUCCUUGGGCACAAUGGAUUUCUUCUUCUCUUUUACUUUGUCAGUUUUGAAGGCAAGUACUUUCUUCUUUUUGUCAUCCUCAAUUGCAUUAUUCUUUUCAAACGUCAUCUUAUAUGCAAUGAGAGACCCAAUAAGCUCAUCAUAUGUGUAAGACUGGAAAUUCUUUGAAUCUAAAAGAACUGUGACUUUUGUUUUCCAAGUUUUUGGCAAAGACCUCAAAAUCUUCUUGACAAGCUCCUCUUCCAUAAAUGUCUUUCCACAUACAUUGAGGAUAUUGAUAAGGUUUGUGAACCUUGUCCUCAUUUCAGCCAUUGAUUCAUCAGGAUUUUUCUCGAAACGCUCAUAGUCACGAACAAGUAAGUUGGGUUUUGAUUUCUUGACCUGAUUGGUACCUCCGUACAUCACUUGUAGCUUUUCCCAAAUUUCCUUAUCUGAAGUGCAACCUGAAAUACAAUAAUAUUCAGUGGCAUCUAAACCACAAUACAAAAUAUUUAUAGCUUUGGCAUUCAUUUGCACUUUCUUCCAAUCAUAUGUAGUAUAUUCACUUUUAGAGUGGAGAAAGCGAAUCCAUAGAGCCGACCCCAAAUUUUUGGGAUAAAGGCUUAGUUGAGUUGAGUUGAGUAUAUGUAGCAUAUUCACUUUCAAGUUCAAUAACUUGUGCAUCUCCUACUUUCUUAGAAGGUAUAAAUGGACCAUUCAAGAUAUUCAACCAAGCAUUUAUAUCAAUAGAUUGAAUAAUGUUUAAAUUCUAACUUUCCAAAAGGAAUAGUUAGUUCCAUUGAACAAUGGAGAUCUUGUAAUGGAAUAGCCUUCAGCUAAACGGAUAUGUAUGCAUUUCCAUUUGCCAUAGGAACCCUCUUAAGGUAUUUAAACACAAAGCUAGAGAGUUAAGCUCUGAUACCAAUUUGUUGUCCCAGAAAGUAUGUCCAAGAGGGAGGUGAAUUGGACAAUUAUCAAUUUUUCUACUCUUGCUCUAAGCACUCUGAAAAAUUGAAGCUAGAUUAGGCACUCUAAUGUGUGUGAAUAAGUGGCAAAAAAGUGCUGCAGAAAGUACAACAGGGUUUUAAUCAAAACACUUCAAAGAACUAUAAGUUAGCUAAAUUUUGCUACUCAACAAGCAUGUAACACUUCCUAACAUUCGAGUAAAUAUACAAGCAAAAUACCUAGCACACACACACAAACACACACACAUACAUAUAUAUAUAUUACAAAUAACAACUUAAAGUGCUGGAAAUAAAGAUAAUAAGGAGAAGAAGAUCAAACACUAUGAUUUACAGUGAUUCGGCUCUCACUAGCCUACAUUCACUCCUCAAAGAAUCCCUUUGAGAGUUGCUCUUUACUAUAUGUCUCGUUUCAAGGGGCAAGAAACAAGCUUUUUACAAUCCCACGAACUUCCAAGGGUUCUUGCAACCUUUACAAGUGCUUCUCCACACUCAAACUCUUCGUCAAGCUUCAAGGAUGCUUGAUAACCUUAUAUAGUUUUUUGUAAGAUCACUUUCAAUCACUCAAGAAUAAAACCAUAAAGAGCUAUUAAGAUGAGAGAGAAUGUUUGCCAAUAUAAGAACCAAAACAAAAAACAUGAAUUUCAAGAACAAAGGCUUAUAAAUGAUCUCAAUUGAUCACUAAGAGUUGAAGUGCUUUUAUUAGGUGAAAGGGUAGUAAAUGAAGCCUUGUAUAGGAACUUCUGAAAUGUAGCUGUUAGGAUUCAAAAAGGUGACCAACAGAUAGAUUUUUUCAAAGAAAACUAGCCAUUAUUUCGUCUUUAACUCAAAAGUAGCUGACUAAAAUUAAAACUGUUCGACAUUAGUUAGCUAAUUUGAAGAAUCAUCUGCAUCUACUGUUUUGUCACUUAUUAAGUUGUUCUUUGCAAAUUUUUUUACAUGUUAUAAUCCAUAUCUGCAUGAUAGGUUAUCACCGAGCAACCAAUUGGAACAGUCCUAUUUUUGGUUAUACAAGGUACGCCAGCAUUGAUGAAAGUUGAAGUACUUGAGAGCGACAUGCAGGGAAACUGCACAUUGGCCCAGGUAUCCAUGUCUUUAUCUGAAAUUUAUGAGACAGAACAAAUCCUCUCCUGUUAAACAGGUUGAAAUUGAGUCAGGAAGGCCACACCAAGCACGUAUUCAUAUUUCUUUUAUCGAGCAUCCUUCCCUAGGUAAACCAAGUCAUGAUUAUUUUAUAGGGCUAUGAGUUUGAACAGUUAAAUUAUGUAUUACGUAGGGAUGUGGUAAAAUUACUUGAAGCCAUUAACAGCAAUAACUACCAUUUUGUCUAUUAUUCUAGUUGAUAUUUCUGCUGCAUCAACUUGUGAGAGCCAAAGUAAUCUAGGGUACUGUACCAACUACAAACUAUAUAGAAUAACAGAACAAGUUGUUUGAUUUGGCUAAAAACACUUGCAUGAGCCUUUGUAUUACCAAAAUUGUCAUCAAACUUUUCAUUUACCGUUUGCAACAUCUUCUGUUGCAAAUUUCAAUUUGUUUUUUCUUGUCUUACAGACAAUAUGGUCAGAUAGGUGAAUGAAGGAAAAUUAUUUAUGCAACUGAUCUAGUUGGAAAGAAAGCUUAGUUCAUUUGAGAUCCUCAUUAUAUUGUUGGUUGUGGCCAACCCAAGUGCUUUGAAUUAUGUGAAAUAUAGUCUAGAGUAUUUUACAUCAACUUGAAUACACAUUUCUUGUUGAUUGCUAAUCAUUUUCGGUUUAAAAGGUUUAUUUCCUUGCAAUUGGUUAUUGAAGUAGCGUGAAAAGAACAUCAGAAUGUCUUUUGCUUGUUUGUUAUUAACUUUUUGUAGAGGGUAUCAGAGACUACAAAACCUGUUCCUGGAGAAUGUGGCUAUUACUUGCAUGCACAUCAAUUGAUCCUCUUGCACCCAACUACAAAUGAGGUUAUUAAAUUUUAUUCCGCAUAUUCUACAAACAAGAGCAGAAAAGACAAACCAUCAAUUGACCUCCUUAGAUAAAGACAAAUCCACAGAGAAAGCAUCAAUAAUUGAAGGAAAACCACAGCCACAGAACCGCGAGAUAGCUGUUGAAAAGUGAAAACCACAUCCGAAUAGAUAAGAAGAAGAAAAAGAAUAUUUUGCCUCUAGCAUUUCAAGCAUAAGAUUAAAAUAUAUUGAUAUAAAUUAUCCUACCAACUGUGUAUGAAGGGUUAAUCGUCAGAAUGGAAUAGAUAGGCGAUCGAAUGACCGAGGGACAGUGACAAAGCCCCUCUCAACUUUCAGAGAUUAUUUCUGUAUUCCCAUCAAAUACAACAAAUACAAAGCAGCUUCAAUAUUACAUUGCACCUAAA